CUGGAGCAAAUCCCCAAAAGCGGUCUCAGUUCGGAUUGAAGGCUGAAAUUCGCCUUCAUGAAGCUGGAAUUGCUAGUAAUGGCAGGUCAGCAUACUGCCGUGAAUACGUUCCCGGGCCUUGUACACACCGCCCGUCACACCAUGAGAGUUGGAAAUACCCGAAGCCUGUGAGCUAACAGUAAUGAGGCAGCAGUCGAAGGUAGAGCCAAUGAUUGGGGUGAAGUCGUAACAAGGUAUC
rnacentral:rRNA from 1 species